UACCUUUAAUUUGAAGUAGGCAUUUUAUUUUGAAGACGGCUUAUGCACUUCCUCUUCCUUUUCUUCACGUUCUACCUUCGACAUGUUUCCAGCGGUACAGCGGUCACUGACGAUUAUGGUCGGGGAAGAUGUGGACGAAUCUGGAGGAGGCGAACAUGGGUCUUUGGAAUGCUAGGCAUAACAGGCAUGAGAAGGUGGCCCAUUCUGAAGCUAGUCAGAAAACAAU